rnacentral:lncRNA from 1 species
GGCUGUUGGCUCCCGCCCCUCCAUCCUCCUCAGUUGCAGGAAUUGGGGAAGACUCCUCCCCUCCUAUCUGUAAGCCAACCUCCACCCAGGAAACCAGGCGAUCAGAGCACCUGAUCACCCCUCUUGGACUGCCUGGAGUUGGGUGUCUGGGAACAUGGGCUUGGUACCUGGUGGGUACCAUUAGCCAAUGGGCUACCUAAAGAGAAGCAGCAUCCUGGGGAAACAAAAAAGCAAGCUGGGUGGCUGGCCAAAGAGGCAAGACAGAGACAAAGGAUCUGAGGAUCCCAGGGGAGGGAAGUUUCAAAGAAGAAUGGGGGGAGGCUGAGGGACUGCCCGUGGCGAUGAGAUAGUGGCUGCCACCAUUUUAGAGGAGAUUACAGCCUCGGGCAUAGGUAUCGAAGAUGUGAACCCAGUUUGACAAACAAGCUCAGGUGCACCAGCCAUGGUUCCUAGAAGUCACCUUGCUGCUGUGGAAUUCUUUGUAGAGGUCUUAGGAUAAGCUCAGAGGAUCCACCUGCAUACCCAGCGGGCCACAGCCUCCCCAGUCUUUAGCAACAACAGCGAACAGGUUUUGAGCCCUUUCUAGGUGCCAGGAACUGUGAUAAGAGCUUACCAGGCAUCACCUCCAUUAAUUCUUGCAGUAACCCUAUGAGGUAUGAAUUCCAUUUCUGUCUCCAUAUUACAGAUGAGGAGACUAAGGUUCAGAGAAAGCACGUCACUUCACCAAGUCAGCGGCACAGCCAGGAUUCCAGAUGAGUUCCUUCUGACUCCAAAGCCAGGUGCACCUCCGCCCAGACCCUCCCAGCUCCCCGCAAGAGACUGGACCCCAUCACCCACACCAUCAGGCACUGGGUAGCACCUAUUUCCCAAUCCUCAGGUCACCAAAAUUGGAUCGAGGAUCAGCACUGGUUCAAAAUUGCGGCUGCUGGCCCCACCGCCAUGGCUGGACCCCCUCGAGCCAGCAGUUCCGAGGAUAUUUCAAACAGUGGGCAUUGGUGCAAUUCUAUAAAAAGGAGCCAGAAACCAUUUAGAUGCUUGCCAGGAAGAAGCGCUUACAGAUGUCAAAGAAAGGUGAUUGAUAGUGAGACAGUAUUGAAUGAGGCCCAAAUUUGGGGUCCAGGUCCUCUCUUUCAUACCUCAGGGCCUUUGCAUAUGCUUUCCCCUCAGCUUUCCAUCUGGCUAAUACCCACCCUCAUCCAAGUCUCAGCCUAAAUGUCGCCUCCUCAGAAAAGCUGUCAUAAUUGCUCAUCAUAUGUUGACUUGUUGUUCAUUUGUUUAAGGUCCCUGUGCCCCGCCAAACUGUAGGCUCCAGGAGGGAGGGACCAGGGCUGCUUUUCUCACCACUCUCUCUCUGUCACAGGCUGGCAUGCCACAGGCAUUCCAGAAUAUUUGUGAAGGAAUUCACAUUCAUGGGACAGAAUCAUCAUCAUGUAACCUUCUUGACACCCAUGAGGUAGAUGUUAUUAUCGUCCAUCUUUUACAGAUGAGGAAUCUGGGAAACAACUAGCGUGAGGACUUUGCUAUAAGUCACCUGGAUGAAGCAGGAUGGAGAACUGAUGCAUUCUGACUCCUCCUAAUCGCCCCCACAGAGCAGGGGAUUGAUGCAAAACAGAUGCUCUGAUUAUCUACUGCUGCAUUACAAAUCACCUCAAAAUUUACUGGCUUGAAAAAUACAUCAUCUGGGGGCUGACCCCUGGCCUAGUGGUUAAGUUCAGCACACUCCGCUUUGGUGGCCUGAGUUCAGAUCCCAGGCACAGACCUAUACCACUCAUCAGCAGCCAUGCUGUGAAGGUGACCCACAUACAAAAUAGAGGAAGACUGGCACAAAUGUUAGCUCAGAGCUAAUCUUCCUCAGCAAAAAAGAAAAAAAUACAUCAUCUGUCCUGCUAACAGAUCUGCAAUUUGGGCAGGGCUCCACAGGAAGGGCUUAUUUCUGCUCUUCACGGUGUCAGCUGGGGUGUCUUGAGUGGGGGCUGGAGGGACCACCCUCACGGCAGCUCAUGCCACGGCUGGAGAGUUAAUGCCAGUGUCUGCUGAGAGCUCAGCCAGGGCUGUGGGCCAGAAGCCUCAGUUCCUCUCCUCGUGGGUCUUGCCACGGGCUGCUUGGGCCUCCUCAGGGCAUGGCGGCUGGGUUCGAAGAGUGAGCAGGUAAAGAGAACCAGGGGGAAGCUGGACAGCCCUUGAUAACAC